CAAGAUGAAGUUCACUCACAUUUUGAUGCUCGUGUUCAGCCUAUUUGCUCUGGUGUUCACGGGAUCAGCUGAUCCAGAACCUGGCGGGAAAUUCAAACCAAAAGGCCAUCAUGGACACCAUGGCGGAUUCAAAGGAGGCUUCAAAGGGGGCUUCAAGAAACCCCUUAAGCUUAAGGGCUAGACACACACCCAACCGACUUCACGACUCCCUCAAGACAUCGGCGAAGAUUCUCUGUGAUUUCUUCUCUUUCCUCUACGACAACGAAGCUUUGAGGAACCCCUGGAUGCAAAUUCAAUCAGAUUAAAAGAGCAAAUUUU
rnacentral:lncRNA from 1 species